rnacentral:rRNA from 1 species
CCUACGGGAGACUGCAGUGAGGAAUAUUGGUCAAUGGGCGCGAGCCUGAACCAGCCAAGUCGCGUGAGGGAGGACGGCCCUACGGGUUGUAAACCUCUUUUGCCGGGGAGCAACGGGCGCCACGUGUGGCGUCACUGAGAGUACCCGGAGAAAAAGCAUCGGCUAACUCCGUGCCAGCAGCCGCGGUAAUACGGGGGAUGCGAGCGUUAUCCGGAUUUAUUGGGUUUAAAGGGUGCGUAGGCGGAUCGUUACGUCAGUGGUCAAAUUGAGGGGCUCAACCCCUUCCCGCCAUUGCAACUGGCGUGCUUGAGUGGAAGAGAAGUAUGCGGAAUGCGUGGUGUAGCGGUGAAAUGCAUAGAUAUCACGCAGAACCCCGAUUGCGAAGGCAGCAUGCCGGCUUCCGACUGACGCUGAAGCACGAAAGCGUGGGGAUCGAACAGGAUUAGAUACCCCAGUAGC